rnacentral:rRNA from 1 species
AUUGAACGCUGGCGGCAGGCCUAACACAUGCAAGUCGAACGGUAACAGGAAACAGCUUGCUGUUUCGCUGACGAGUGGCGGACGGGUGAGUAAUGUCUGGGAAACUGCCUGAUGGAGGGGGAUAACUACUGGAAACGGUAGCUAAUACCGCAUAACGUCGCAAGACCAAAGAGGGGGACCUUCGGGCCUCUUGCCAUCGGAUGUGCCCAGAUGGGGUUAGCUAGUAGGUGGGGUAACGGCUCACCUAGGCGACGUUCCCUAGCUGGUCUGAGAGGAUGACCAGCCACACUGGAACUGAGACACGGUCCAGACUCCUACGGGAGGCAGCAGUGGGGAAUAUUGCACAAUGGGCGCAAGCCUGAUGCAGCCAUGCCGCGUGUAUGAGGAAGGCCUUCGGGUUGUAAAGUACUUUCAGCGGGGAGGAAGGGAGUAAAGUCAAUACCUUUGCUCAUUGACGUUACCCGCAGAAGAAGCACCGGCUAACUCCGUGCCAGCAGCCGCAGUAA